ACUCAAAGGAAUAGACGGGGGCCCGCACAAGCGGUGGAGCAUGUGGUUUAAUUCGACGCAACGCGAAGAACCUUACCUGGGCUCGAACGGCUUACGACCGGCUUUAGAAAUAGAGCAAUUCCCGCAAGGGACGUGAGUCGAGGUGCUGCAUGGCUGUCGUCAGCUCGUGUCGUGAGAUGUUGGGUUAAGUCCCGCAACGAGCGCAACCCUUGUCCUGUGUUGCAACUAACAGGCACUCUCAGGAGACCGCCAGCGAUAAGCUGGAGGAAGGUGGGGAUGACGUCAAGUCAUCAUGGCCUUUAUGUCCAGGGCUACACACGUGCUACAAUGGGCGGUACAAACCGCUGCAAACCCGUGAGGGGGAGCUAAUCGGAAAAAACCGUUCUCAGUUCGGAUUGCAGGCUGCAACUCGCCUGCAUGAAGCUGGAAUCGCUAGUAAUGGUAUAUCAGAACGAUACCGUGAAUACGUUCCCGGGCCUUGUACACACCGCCCGU
rnacentral:rRNA from 1 species